UGUGCCAAAAUGUUUGCAAUAGUUCUAUUUGGAAUUUUUGUUGUUGUUGUUUUUUAGUCACGAAGUCAUGUCUGACUCUUUGCAACCCCAUGGAUUGUAGCCCACCAGCCUCCUCUGGCCAUGGAAUUCUCCAGGCAAGAAUAGCAGAGCAGGUUGCCAUUUCCUACUCCAAGGGAUCCUCCAGACCCAGGGACUUAACCUGAGUCUCCUGCAUUGGUAGGCGGAUUCUUUAACACUGAGCCAUCAGGGAAGCCCAUUUGGGAUUGGAAUAAAGGAUUGGAGAUACUUUAUAUUCAUUGCGAUAACUUUGAUAAAGACAGAAAAGCAUCCUCGGAAACAAGCAAAAGGAUAGGGCAGCCCUGGUGGACUCUGUGUGGGCUGCCAUCACUUCACCGUCAUCCACGGCCCCGUGAGAGACUCGCCAGAGUGUGGAACGCCCAGCAGAGCUUUUACUUUUUCAACCUUGGCUGCAACGACUGGGAAACUGGGGCGGCUGUUCUCUCUCAAGAGCAAGCUGGAAAACACCAGAAGCAAAAUCUUGAUAAACAUUCUCCUGAGGCAGCUGCAAUUCCUACCUAAGUCAUGUCUACCCCAAAAUGUGUGUUUUUAUGUGUGUUUCCUGAAAGACUUUUGAAGGUGAGGAAUUUUACAGGGCAGUUCUCCUUUCAAUAUUCUGAAUUCUGUUGUGCAGAACUUAGCCUGAUGUGCUUGACAGCCUUGGCGACAAAAAGCACUAUAUAAAUGCAUCAUCAAUAUAAUAAUAUAAAUUGAAUUAGAAUGUUCAUUCUGUUCUGCCGAGUUUCUUUCCUGAGCUGAUUAUAUCUGAAAUAGCUCUUGUUAGAGGCUUUCUCAUUAUGAGGAACUCACUGUCCUGUUCCAGCCCUCCAUCAGGUACCACCUGUUUGACAUUUUGUAUUCUUUUUUUUUUCCCUAAGUUAAGUAGCCCACAUGAGGAUUUGAAGUGCAGAGUCAUGGCAUUAGAAUUACAACCUGCUGUUUCUCCUGAUUAAGUUUUUCUGUUAGUAAGUUAAGGUUGC
rnacentral:lncRNA from 1 species